GCCUAUGUGGUGUAAUGGUUUGAGCAUUGGACUAUGACUCUGAAACCCAGGGUUCGAAUUCCUGCCUGCCCA